UACGUAGGUGGCAAGCGUUGUCCGGAUUUACUGGGCGUAAAGAGCGCGCAGGCGGUCGGUCAAGUCGCGUGUGAAAGCCCCCGGCUCAACUGGGGAGGGUCACGCGAUACUGAUCGACUCGAAGGCAGGAGAGGGUAGUGGAAUUCCCGGUGUAGUGGUGAAAUGCGUAGAUAUCGGGAGGAACACCAGUGGCGAAGGCGGCUACCUGGACCGGUUCUGACGCUGAGGCGCGAAAGCGUGGGUAGCAAACAGG
rnacentral:rRNA from 1 species